CAGCAAUUUAUGUUCAGCUGAAUGAGGAAAAGUAUAGUACAUUCAAUGGACCCAUCAAAGCUGAUUCAUUUGAAUCCCCAACGAAGUCAUCACAGAAAGAAUUCCAUUAUGUUUCCCCAGUUGAGGACCCUGACACAAAUUCUCGAGACAACUGGAGGAAUAAAGAAAAAUCUUCAAUGUAUUGUAUGGAUACUAAAAACUUUUAUACAGAUGUUUAUAAAGAAAAAGAAUCUGAUGAUCGUGAAGUAAAGCUACAUCAAGUCGGUGACUCUCAAAGUGCAAGUGCAAUUAAGGGGGAUGUGAUACAUGUCCGGAAAAAUUCUUGUCUUGAUUCGAUAAUACACGUACUAUGGUAUGCAGCUGAAUGUAAUACCAAUUAUUUGAUAUUAAUGAGAUAUCCCACCACCGAAAAUGCCACAUUCAAAUUAAUUGCUCAGCUAGUUGAUAAUGAAAAUCUGCAAUCAACAAAUGAGCACCGAGCUCUUGUCUCACCUUCUUUCGUUGAGACACAAAUUUAUCAUAUCAGCCCCAGCAUCGAUUCAGAAAUAUCGGCAAUUGAUUUGACUACUAGUGGGACAUCUGCUAAAGUUUGGAAAGCAUGUUUUGACAGUGAACCCAGUGCACAGAAGCUGUAUAACUGUAAUAUUUGCGGAGAAUACGUUGAAAAUAUCGCAGUACUGUAUCCCAAUUUUUUCAACCGUUCCCAAAAAUGCAUUGACUUGCAGAAAGCUCUACAUUUCUGUAAAUACUUGAAGAAAGUUCGAUUUAUUAAGGAAUCAUGUCCAGGAAAAUGCGUAGUGACCACUUCGUCGAAUUUUCAUCUCUUCAUUGACAUCUCUCAAUCUUCAAUGUGCCUGAUCGACGAAAUACCUACAGUGAUAUGCCGGGAAUUCAAUUACAGAUUAGCUGGAAUAAUUAGUCGUCUCGGAGAUCGAUAUGUUGCCUACUGUUCAGCGCUACAAAAUUGGUUAUUGUACGAUGGUUAUCACAAAGUAACUAAAACAAUAGUUGGCUGUGAACAAAUUCGUCCUUCCGGACUUAUUUACGUACUGCAAGAUGAAACCAAAACCUUAGUUUAAUAAUCUUAGUUGAAGACGGUUAAUUGAUGUUAACUCUUAUUACGAUGUGAGAUGGUUUAACUCCUGUUAACCAUUAUUAGAGUCAGACAGGACGUAUUCAUGGUACGUUCAUACUAAAUAUACACGUAUAUAUUAUAUUCGUCGAUGAUAAUACUUUUAUAUCGACCUUAUUAUGCACAUGUAAAACUUCGAAACACGAGAAAAUAAAAAUAAUUAAUGACUAUGUGAAUGCGAGUAUAUUCCCACAAUUGGUAGAAUUGGCUUUUUUUAUCAUUUUAAAUAAUUGAACCCUCUUAUAAAGUUGAAUAAGCAUCACAAGUCAUAAGGUUGAAUGCGGUUUUACGGGAAUAUUUAUGAAACUAAUGAUAAGGAAAAGAAAAAUUCAUACAACUAAGCAAUUAACUAAAAUUCUCGUCGACUUCCUUGGUCGAUCGUUUUCAGCUCUGCGAAAUAAGUCAACAGAGACAUUUUCUAUAGAUCUCUUAAUUUUUAUAAUAUUCUGGAAAAUCUGAUUUUUCACCCAUUAUCAGUCCCCCUUUUUUAUUUAAGAGGGUUCCACUAUUUACAAUUAUACAAAAAAGUUCCUCUUAGUAAUAUCUCGGACGAAAAAUCGGGGGUAUCUGGCAACUCUAAUAGACUCCGCGGGGAAUUCACAAAAAUUAUUCAAAAGAAAAAAUGCAUAAAUUUAUUCUAGAAAAAAGAAUGAUGACAAUAAAACGGAAUUCAUAUUUACUCGAGCCUGCCUUUCCUGUGUAUCCACACGAAAUUAAAUUUCAACGUCCAUAUUC